UGGGGAAUUUUGGACAAUGGACGCAAGUCUGAUCCAGCCAUGCCGCGUGCGGGAAGAAGGCCUUCGGGUUGUAAACCGCUUUUGUCAGGGAAGAAACGAGUUUCUCUAAUACAGAGACUCAAUGACGGUACCUGAAGAAUAAGCACCGGCUAACUACGUGCCAGCAGCCGCGGUAAUACGUAGGGUGCGAGCGUUAAUCGGAAUUACUGGGCGUAAAGCGUGCGCAGGCGGUUAUGUAAGACAGAUGUGAAAUCCCCGGGCUCAACCUGGGACCUGCAUUUGUGACUGUAUAGCUAGAGUACGGUAGAGGGGGAUGGAAUUCCGCGUGUAGCAGUGAAAUGCGUAGAUAUGCGGAGGAACACCGAUGGCGAAGGCGAUCCCCUGGACCUGUACUGACGCUCAUGCACGAAAGCGUGGGGAGCAAACA
rnacentral:rRNA from 1 species